rnacentral:rRNA from 1 species
CGCUAUCACUUCUGGAUGGACCUGCGGUGCAUUAGCUUGUUGGUGGGGUAACGGCCUACCAAGGCGAUGAUGCAUAGCCGAGUUGAGAGACUGAUCGGCCACAAUGGGACUGAGACACGGCCCAUACUCCUACGGGAGGCAGCAGUAGGGAAUCUUCCACAAUGGGCGCAAGCCUGAUGGAGCAACACCGCGUGAGUGAAGAAGGGUUUCGGCUCGUAAAGCUCUGUUGUUAAAGAAGAACACGUAUGAGAGUAACUGUUCAUACGUUGACGGUAUUUAACCAGAAAGUCACGGCUAACUACGUGCCAGCAGCCGCGGUAAUACGUAGGUGGCAAGCGUUAUCCGGAUUUAUUGGGCGUAAAGAGAGUGCAGGCGGUUUUCUAAGUCUGAUGUGAAAGCCUUCGGCUUAACCGGAGAAGUGCAUCGGAAACUGGAUAACUUGAGUGCAGAAGAGGGUAGUGGAACUCCAUGUGUAGCGGUGGAAUGCGUAGAUAUAUGGAAGAACACCAGUGGCGAAGGCGGCUACCUGGUCUGCAACUGACGCUGAGACUCGAAAGCAUGGGUAGCGAACAGGAUUAGAUACCCUGGUAGUCCAUGCCGUAAACGAUGAGUGCUAGGUGUUGGAGGGUUUCCGCCCUUCAGUGCCGGAGCUAACGCAUUAAGCACUCCGCCUGGGGAGUACGACCGCAAGGUUGAAACUCAAAGGAAUUGACGGGGGCCCGCACAAGCGGUGGAGCAUGUGGUUUAAUUCGAAGCUACGCGAAGAACCUUACCAGGUCUUGACAUCUUGCGCCAACCCUAGAGAUAGGGCGUUUCCUUCGGGAACGCAAUGACAGGUGGUGCAUGGUCGUCGUCAGC